rnacentral:lncRNA from 1 species
GGACUGUGUUAGGGCCAUAGGAGAGUGGUCACCCCAGUUUACUCACAGAAGGAACAGGAACAAGCCCCUCACUAAGCAGCGUGCAUCUGUGCUGUGGCUGCCACACAAAGGAUGGCACACAGGGCUGAUCGCCUGCACAGCUCUGGAGCCCAGUAGCCUGGAUCAGGCUGGGGCAGGGUUUCUCCGAAGGCUCCAGAGGAGGACGCUUCCUCGACUCAUCAGCUUCUGGUGGCUGCACGUGCUCCCCGUGACCUGUGGCCAUGUCGCUCCAGUGUCCGACUCUCCCAGUAUCUGUCUCCUGGUAAGGAUCCUAGUCACACUGGAGCAGGGCCCGCCUCACUCCAGGAUGAUCUCAGCUUGACUUGAUGACUGCAAAGACUCUGUUUCCAGGUGAACGUUUGUCCAGGCCUCAGGCGCUGCCGCCACGUCAUUCCUAGCUGCUGUGGCAAAGCCAGAAGUCAGGCAGCAUUCACGUCCAGCCAGGACUUUCUUUACGGGGUGGGAAGCUGCUGCUAGGUCAGGUUGUCUUCAGCCUGCACAGCACGUCCCUGGGAGGCUUCCAGCUCUCAGGACCUGAGAACUCAUCACCGUCCUGAGGGCCCUAAAGAGUUUGGGGUAUGGUGGGAGAGAGGCUCUGAUAAAAGUGUGUUUAAGCUAAGUGCAUAAUAAAAAUAUUUAUGCGAUAAGUUUCAUAACAAAACAGAAGAUCCUACCUUUGAAAGUAAUAUUCGAAAUAAUUUAAUAUUUAAUAGAUUUAAUAUAAACUGGAUCAUUUGCAAUUAAAAAGACAGAAGCGCAGCCCUGCUCCACAGUGGUAGAUCCUGACAUGGGUAACCAACUGGCCGAGCUAGGGGACUGAGGACUCCUGUCCAGGGGACCUACCGUCAGGCCACAAACCAGGCGACGGCAAAAACGAGAAACGAACUCGGCUUCCAAAAGCCCCCAUUGUGUCCAAGGCUACAAAGGAUAAUCUUGUACUCAUUUGGAGUUUCUGUCAACAUCUGCUCCCUCGUCCACGAGGAACCUGCCAUGUGGAGUCACGGAGCCAGGCCUCGGCCUCCAGCCUGGAGGUUGGGGAAGGAGUUACUCUGACUUCCCGCUGCUGCCUGUUGUGAUGUUAGCGCCCUCCCCACAGUGCCGGUCCCCUGCCAAGUCCCCUGAGCUACUUCUGGAAAAGGAGUGCGCUUGGUGUGAUCGCCCUUACCUUGUUCUAAGCCACUGACUCUGAUGUGCAGCGGGUUUUGUGUUUAAGGCGUGGAGAAACAUUAAAAUCGGGGUUUUGACAGGAGUGUGCUUCAUAAACGCUCCGCGGGAGAGGCCCAUUCCCCUUCCAGCCCGAAUCCAGGGCAUCACUCACCACCUGUUCUCGCCAAUGUCCACUCUGCCCACAGAUGGUGAGCCUGCCUCACCCCAUGCAGCCCUGCAGAGGCUGGCGCGGACGCUGACCUGACCUCCCAUGGUCAGCCCCUGCCUCAUGAAUGGCUCUUGCCCCCUGGUCGGCUCCUGCCCCGUGGAUGGCUCCUGCCCCUCCACCCCAUGGCUCCUGGCCCCUGGUCGGCUCCUGCCUCUCCACCCCAUGGCUCCUGUCCCUCCACCCCAUGGCUCCUGGCCCCUGGUCGGCUCCUGCCCCGUGGAUGGCUCCUGCCCCUCCACCCCAUGGCUCCUGACCCUGGUCAGCUCCUGCCCCAGGACAGCUCCUGCAGGUGUUGCUCGGCGAGCACGGCUGAAGGAUGCCUGGCCUGGCAGGACUCUGAGGAC